rnacentral:rRNA from 1 species
GAUGAACGCUGGCGGCGUGCCUAAUACAUGCAAGUCGAGCGAACAGAUAAGGAGCUUGCUCCUUUGACGUUAGCGGCGGACGGGUGAGUAACACGUGGGUAACCUAUCUAUAAGACUGGAAUAACUCCGGGAAACCGGGGCUAAUGCCGGAUAACAUGUUGAACCGCAUGGUUCUACAGUGAAAGGCGGCUUUGCUGUCACUUAUAGAUGGACCCGCGCCGUAUUAGCUAGUUGGGGAGGUAGCGGCUCACCCAGGCAACGAUGCGUAGCCGACCUGAGAGGGUGAUCGGCCACACGGGAACUGAGACACGGCCCAGACUCCGACGGGAGGCAGCAGUAGGGAAUCCUCCGCAAUGGAGGAAAGCCUGACGGAGCAACGCCGCGUGAGUGAUGAAGGUCUUCGGAUCGUAAAACUCUGUUGUUAGGGAAGAACAAAUACGUAAGUAACUGUGCGCGUCUUGACGGUACCUAAUCAGAAAGCCACGGCUAACUACGUG